rnacentral:rRNA from 1 species
AGAGUUUGAUCAUGGCUCAGAAUCAACGCUGGCGGCGCGCCUAACACAUGCAAGUCGAACGAGAAAGGGGAGCAAUCCCUGAGUAAAGUGGCGUACGGGUGAGUAACACGUGGGUAAUCUGCCCUUUGGUGGGGAAUAGCCCUGGGAAACCGGGGAUAAUACCGCAUAAGUCCGAGAGGAGAAAGCAGCAAUGCGCCGAAGGAGGAGCCCGCGGCCGAUUAGCUAGUUGGUAGGGUAAAAGCCUACCAAGGCAAAGAUCGGUAGCCGGCCUGAGAGGGCACACGGCCACACUGGCACUGAAACACGGGCCAGACUCCUACGGGAGGCAGCAGUGGGGAAUCUUGCACAAUGGGGGAAACCCUGAUGCAGCGACGCCGCGUGGGCGAUGAAGCCCUUCGGGGUGUAAAGCUCUUUCGGCAGGGAAGAUGAUGACGGUACCUGCAGAAGCAGCUGCGGCUAACUACGUGCCAGCAGCCGCGGUAAUACGUAGGCAGCAAGCGUUGUUCGGAGUUACUGGGCGUAAAGGGUGUGUAGGCGGUUCUUUAAGUUUGGUGUGAAAUCUCCCGGCUUAACCGGGAGGGUGCGCCGAAUACUGAGGAACUAGAGUGCGGGAGAGGAAAGUGGAAUUCCUGGUGUAGCGGUGAAAUGCGUAGAUAUCAGGAGGAACACCGGUGGUGUAGACGGCUUUCUGGACCGUAACUGACGCUGAAACACGAAAGCGUGGGGUAGCAAACAGGAUUAGAUACCCUGGUAGUCCACGCCCCUAAACGAUGCAUAUUUGGUGUGGGUCAUUCGUUGAUCCGUGCCGGAGCUAACGCGUUAAAAUAUGCCGCCUGGGAGUAAAUCCCACGCUGAAACUAAAGAAUUGGAUGGGCGCCCGCACAAGCGGGGGAGCAGGUGUUCUUUCGACCACGCGAAAACCCUUCCUGGC